CCGAGAUAUGCAGAAGAGCAUCUCUGAACACUCAACACGUCGAACCUUGAAGCAGAUGGGCUACAGCAGCAGAAGACAACCUGGUACUAGCAAGGUGUACCUAAUAAAGUGGCAGGUGGGUAUGUAAAGUCUUGUAAAGAGGCCACCAAAAUUAAUUCAGCAGUAGGCUAUAAAAAACGAAAUGUGUGGUUAAAAAAUGGAACAACAAUGUUAACCUUUUAAUUAAUUUUACACAAAUCCGACUUUAAUUAAAUUAUUUUUAUAUAUAUUUUAUAUAUUCACUCAAAGAAUGCUUGCACAGUCCUUUUUGUGCCUGGUGUCACUUGUAGGGGAGAGUCAGAGCAAUAUGAAGUAAAAACCUGUUUCUGAAGUAAUUUUCAGGUAUAAGCCUUUAUUUUAAUUUGCAAUAGGCUAAAUUUAAUUAUGCAUCAUUUUAUUAUUUGUCCUUGAAAAGUUAGUAUGUGUUCCAGAGUGUAUUGUAGCUGGAAUUAGAUGUUUGGUGACCCAAAAAAAACAUCAUGUCCCUGUGUAACAGUUGUUAGAUAUGCUGCCUCUUCAACACAGUAGAUUCCCAAGCUUUACAUGGAGAUGGUUGGUAAAGUCAAAGAAUGUCUGAGUGAAGCUGUCAGGGUUGCACUCAGUAACGUGUGGACCUCCAGAGCAGCAGACUUGUUUGCUACUACUGUGGCACACCAUAUCAUCUGUGAUUGGAAACUUGUUUCAAGCUCUGCAAACAAGGCAAUGUAUGAAAGACAUAUGGGUGCAAAUAUGGGCAAACUGUUGUAGAGUGUGUCAGGUCAGUGGCAGCUCACAAAGAUGGUUCUGGUUACCAAUAAUGCCUGAAAUGACUUGCUGCACAGGUGGGCAACUUUGUACAUGCAAAAUGUUACACCCACGCUCUCGACUUGGCAUCUCAGCUAGCCGUUAUGCUGCCUACGGUGUCAGGACUGCUGGGGAGUGUGAGGCGUGUCACUGCCCUCUUUCAAUGCAGUACCACCGCAAAACACAUCUUGGAUCAGAAGCAGCGGCACCUGGCACUUCCAUGCCAUAAAUUGAAGACUGACGUGAGCACGAGGUGGAACAGUGCAUAUGAGAUGCUUGACCGGUUCCUUGAACUGUAAUCAGCCAUAUGCACCACUUCUCGGGUGUUUGUUUUGUUUUUUAUGUUUUAUUUAUUCACAUGAGGAAAACAUACCGACACGACAGCAGCUACAUACUGAUUGUGCCAGUGAGGGGAAAAGAAAGCCCAACGGGGCUUAUAGUACACCCUAGUACUAAUUAAUCAGUUGACGAUAGUCACAAUAAACGAUAACAGCAACAAAUGACAACAACAAAAGAGGGGACAAAAAACAGACAGUCAUACAUUUGAAAAGCAAAUGCCUUCAAGGAGGCAUGCAAGAUGAAUGGGGAAGGAAAAAGCGCAAAAAAAACAAAGCAAAAAUCCUGAAAAUAUGCCAAAAGUGUGAAUAUGUGCCGAGAAGUGAAGCUGACCUCUAGAUGCUGGGUGAAAUGGUGAAGGCCCUGAAGCCAGUGAAAGAAGCCACCACUGUCAUGUUGGAAGAGAGCACCCCCUGUGCUUUCUGUGAUUGCUCUCCUACAUGCUAAACUCCUCCAGGACUGAGGACAGCGAUGGAGAAUCUCCUGUGGCUCGCGAAAUAAAGCAAGCGACCAAUGAACACGUCAGUAAGAAAUACACCACUACUUAAGUGUACACAGACUGUGCUCCUGACCCAAUGUUCAAGGCACAACAGUUUCUUUCAGAAGAGGAGAGGGAGAUGUAUGAGAGUGAUUGCUGAAGCUGCAGCAUUAGAGAAGGCUGAUGUGAGCUGUGCUUUCUGUACUCUAUCCAGUGAGAUGUGAACAACAACAACAACAACAACAACAACCUAGAACAUGACACCCCGGAGCUGAAGCGUGAGGAAGAUGACACCCCAGGGCCAGAUGUCAUUGAGAAGUGGGAUGAAGGCCUUUCUGUCUCUAAAAGAAGGGCAUCAUAUUCACUCUUGAAUCUGCUGGAGCAGGUCUUCACUGAGUUUUGCCCCCUCAGUCAACAUGAGGGCUAAAGAGGAGGUGAAGAAAUACCAAGUGGCUCCGCCACUUCCUCUCUCCGAAGAUCCCCGCAACUGGUGUCCAUGAUGCAAUGUUUCCUGUUCCAGCCAAGUUGUCUAAGCGAUAGGUACAUGCAUUUCAGCAGAAAGAACCUUCUUCACUGGAGGGGACAUUGUGACGGCACAGUGAAGCACACUCCCACCAAAGCAUGUGGGCCAGCUGCUGUUCUUGAACAAGAAUUUGGACAUUUCUACUCUUACCAGUUCAAUGGUGCACGUGUGCACUUGCCCGUUUAAUUUUUUUAAUAUGUAAAUUGUCUUUCAGUUUUUAUUUGUUAAAAUGUUAUUUGAUUCUGUACAAGCAACAGUUUUAUUUUGUUAUGGGAACUGUCUCAGCAGUAAGAGUCUUAUCCACUGUAGACAUUGGGGCACACUUACACAGUGGGAAGUGCGUAUGGGCCAUAUUUCAUUUCAUAGUGUAUGCUACUUGAGAAUGGUGAACAUAUGCUUGCCCCAAUUAGCAAUUCAAUUUAACCUUUUAAUUGGGCCCAAAAUUAAGAAUAAGAUCAAAUCUUCUAGCAUAAUGGCACAAAUAAAACAGUGACCAUUACACCCAUGAUACGUGCAGUUGCGUUUAUCCAGUUCAGUGACAUUCCAGUUCAUAUCCAAUGUUCUUCAGGCUCACUUGCAUAGCUUUCAAAUGUAACUUACGGCUUCCUUCUAGCUGAAACUGCGGCUUAGCUAUUCUACUGCGUAUCUUACUUUCACUUUGCGUUUUCGAAUUGCGCAUGAGUGGCUUAACGUAUGCUUUAUUGGAGAUUUGUUUGUCAGCAAAUGCUUGUAGACAAAACACUGCAGUAGUGAUAACGGGUACUAUAUUGUAAAUCAUUUAUGAUUUGAUUUGAUAUUUAGUCAUUUUUCCUGUUAUGAUCUGGGUGAGAUUUGUAUGUGUGUCUGCUGUUGGUGAAAGACAUGAGUUCCCUCACUUCACACUUCCCUGUGAAAUUUCUUUGUUAGAUUUGAUAACAAAUAAAAGUGAUGCUGGGACAC